UACGAAGGGGGCAAGCGUUGUUCGGAAUUACUGGGCGUAAAGGGCGCGUAGGCGGCCGAUCAAGUCAGGCGUGAAAUUCCCGGGCUCAACCUGGGGGCUGCGCUUGAUACUGAUUGGCUUGAAUGCGGGAGAGGAUAGUGGAAUUCCCAGUGUAGAGGUGAAAUUCGUAGAUAUCGGGAGGAACGCCGGUGGCGAAAGCGAUCGUCUGGGGUGCAUGUGACGCUGAGGCGCGAAAGCUAGGGGAGCAAACGGG
rnacentral:rRNA from 1 species